CUGGCUGAGGAGGAGACCAGAUAUCCACUGUGGGCUCCUGUGGAAGAACUGCUGAGAUUCCAAGCUGCUGAGGCUGGGGACCUUAACUGCGCUGCAGAGACCCAGUUGACCGAAGGGGACACUGAGCCACUGCUACCCUGAGGAGAUGCCUGAGGCAUGCGUAAGGGGGCCAAGUAACCUGCACCAGGCUCUACACUAGCAAAGAUUACAGACCUCACACUUGGGCUGGAUUCAGAAAGCAUCAUGUUUCUGAAAUCUGGAGUGUCACCUCCCUGAACUAGAGUCUCUCAGGACUUCUGCUUUCCUUUGAAGUUUCAAGAGAAAAAUAGUUUACCUCACCAUCAUGUUCUACUAGUAUUGAAGUAGAGCUUAAGCUUUUGAAAUUUCAGAUCUUUUCAACCAACACCACCGGAGAGAGAGAUUUGAAGUCUGGUCAAGAUUGUCUUCUGUUCUAUGCUUAUGUAAUUAGGGUUAGCUUCAUUAAAGUCAAUGGUGUUACAUAGUAUAAAAUUCCACGUCAGAGAAGAAUUUUUGUGAUUGAAAAGAUGGAAGGUGCUACCUCCAAAUUAUUGGUUAGAUGAGCAAUUCACACUGACAUCUGUAUUAAUAGUGCUCAAUGGAUUAAUUAGAGUCUGUCACUGUAGUACGUUCAGUACUUUCUUGCACAUACUAAAAUUGUUCUGGGCUCCAUCAGCGUGCAUCCCAUGGAACACAAUAUUCCUAAUUCAUUUUCCCAUGUGUGAUUUAAAAGAACACUUUAAUUUUAUAGCUCCUAUUGGCAAAAUGCUUCCAGACACUCCUGACUGGCUCAAGACUAAUUAGAGACUUUUUCCCUUGCCUAAUUGAGCGUGGAGCCAUUCUUGUUUUUGGAUGCAUAUUUAAGUCCACUGAAUGUCUGGCAACAAAUGUAUGAGACGUAUUGAAUUAUCAUUGGGAGAUAUGAAUAUCUUUUGAACAAGAAGUAGCAAGGGAAAAUAAAUAUUGCACUCAUGUCCUGCUCAGGUGUGUCUACUCCUGAAAAAAAUUGAGCUUAAGAUUUGCACCUUAAAAUAGUUUCAGAUAUUACAGAUGGGAAGUGCACAAAAAUUGUAACUGUAUGGUUAUCUUAAAAAACAAUGACAAGAAAAUGAAAGGAAAUUGAG